rnacentral:misc_RNA from 1 species
GAAACGAGAUGGAACCACCCGAGACACAAGUGAAACACAAGCGAACCACAAUGCUCGAAGAUCCAAUUCCAAUCCUGGUUUAGCAAUUGUAUCAAAUACAACACAACCAACGUAGCAGAACAAUUGCAAAAUUUAAUGAGAGAUAUUAUUACAUCCCACCACCUGGUGGGAUAGAUUCCUACAUCGGAGGGACAGGAGAUAUUAAAAAAGGAUAUAUUAUAACCUCACUCCGACUCCUAUAGUAACAUGAGUUAAUCACUUUGGGUCAGAUGAUUUAGGACUUUGAAAAUUAUUUGGAUCGAUUGGAGCAGGGAUGUUACAUUAACACAUCGAGACUUGGCACUUAUACGAUCAGAUUCGCUGCUUAGUUAUGAAUAAUUUGAUAUUCCAAGAAAUUCAAUUCCAUAGACAAAAUUGGUUUUUAUUGAACUUUUUUCACUUCCGUCUCUAUGAUCAACCAUAUGAGCAAGUAGAUUCCUAGCAAAAAAUGGCAUCAAUGGGGAAGAAAUCUGUGUUUUUCUAGUCUGCAAAAUCUGAUCGCCAAUCUGUGAAUCUGCAAAUCUUUGUGUGCAGGCUGGCUGGCUCUCCCAUCUCAAGCUGUUCAGCAUGCAGGUCUAUAGACUAAAACCAAGCCACAGGAGAAAAAAAAAGUUGUAAAAUGACAAUGUCAGCAAUCCGUACUUGGGAUAUUUCAAAUGUAUAUGCAGCUCAAAAUAGCCAGAAAAGCAUCAGGAUCAAACCUUAUGAGAACAAUAAUUGCAGAUGAAUUUUUUCUGCCAAAGUUCAAACCUUAAAAACCUUUGGAAACAGUAGUCUAGUCUAGCAAAAUGCCAACACACACGAACACGUCCCACAAAAUCAGCAGAUCCUGAAUCAAUCAGUUGAGCAGACACGACUCAAGUCUGUGCAGCAGAAAGAAUUCUGCUUUCAACCCAAUAUUUACCAUCUGAGAAGGAAUUGAUUGAUCAAAUCUUAAAUGUUUGAAAGAAAAAUGAAACUAACAAAUGCAUAAAACCUUCCCACAGUAACCAUUCCUGCAUCUGCAAUUUGUAAGUCUUUUGUGAAGUGGCAUAAACAGUAGGAAGAAAGAAAAAAAGAAUUUAGUGUUGUAUUUGUUCUCUUAACAAGAUCAAGAUAGCAAAUUAGAGAUGAUGUCUGAUGGCCUACCCUAGGCUGCAUGAAGUAAGUUGCAUCACUUAGCAAAAACCCACUUCAUCCACACAGAAAAGCAAAACUUUGAGAGGUGUUCAGGCAAGUCCACAUUGGUCCAUGAUGCAGAAAAUCCAUCUGUAGAGAGCAACCAACUUCCAGACUUUGUUUGCAAUUCCAGCUGACUGUUUGAUGCAUGGAGAUCCAGCAGCUCAUUGUCAUAGAAGUCAUCAUCAUCAAAGUUCCUUCUCCUCUUUUUUCUACUUUUCUUUUUCUUCCUAUGCUUUCUUUUAACUGAUGCACCAUCAUCCAAUUCAGAGUCAUUUUCUUCCGACAAUCCAUCAUGAUGUAGCAUUGCAUAUUUGUCAGAUUUUCGAAAACUUAUACCAUUAUUUGAAAAUAAAGAUUCCCAGGACUCAGAAAUCCAGUUUUCCUCCGAUAACGCAUAAUGAAUAACCCAAGACUGAAGCCCCAAGAACUUAGUUGCUUCCAUGGUUUUCAUCUUGAAGCACUCCUUCAGAAAAGGGCCCAAGCUGUUGGCAGUGCUUGAGAUAGUGCAGAUCUGAGAUACAAUGUCCUUGAUUUUUGUUUGUUCCUCCUGUGACUCUUCAUCAUUCACAAGCCGCAGAAGCUGGCGUCCUUGAUUUGUAACCGCAUUUAACAGAAGUAGCUGAUCAAGAGAUUCACAAUCAUUGAAUUUGGAAAGUACAAAAUCAAGCCAACAAGAUGAGUUACCAAAAUCCACAGGUUCCAUGUUUAGGCUAUAAUAUCUAUGAAGCAAUUCUAGAGCAGCGAGCAAUUCCCUCUCUUCAAGACUGAUAAGGAGGCGAUUACACAAAGAUGAAAAAGAUUCCUCCAUAAGAAACUCACUUAUGACAUCCCAUACAUUUGAAUCCUCUUUGUACAUCAAGCCAACAAAAAAUUCUACAAAGUAUUUAGUAUCAAUGGACAAAAUAUCACCAUCUCUCAAGGACUCAGCAAACUCACUGGAUGACCAAAAUUCAGGUACGUUUUCAAGAAAAUUUUCUAUUGUUCGUUGGACAUCCAAAUCAAGAAAGUAAUGAGGCUUUGUAGCCACCACCGCAGGUGAUUGCCCAUGUUUUCCUUUCCACUCAAGCUCCUCCCAGCAUAUAUCACGAUUCACAAAUGCGAAUUGUGAUAAUGCUUUGGCACCUUUUUUAUGAUCCAAUCCACCACCACCAGCAAAGUUAGAAAACCAUUGCAUUAUACGCUUUGGAUUUCCUUCAAAGAACUUCUCAAGCACAUAGCUUCUCUCGGCUAUGACAGGCCCUGCUUUCUGCGGCCUCUUUUCAAAUAUCAUUUGCAAAAGCUGGGAUGCUAAACCCUGAUUUGGAAGCCUGGUUCUUAGUAAGUUCACGAAUAGGUCCCGCUGCUGGCGAGAGGUUAUGGAAGUAAUGCCUGCUAUUGUAUUGCAUAGCCAUAAACGAGCUUCUGCUCGACCCCCAGAAGUCAUCAACGACCAGAUAACGGAUUCCAAUUGGUUCAAAAGCAAUAUCCAUUGCUUGGAAACCCCACUAUCUCCACCUCCUCUAUCUUCUUUCCAGUUAGGCUCCGACAAAAACAAGCGAACCAUUGUUGCUUUCUUAUAUCGCUAUUCUCUUCUAGUACACAGGAACAUGCCUUAAGUGUCACAAUUGGACGGCAACUCAAUCUCAAGAUCACACAUGAAUCGAACUAGAUAGGCAAAUUCCAAAAGAAACCCAUCAAGAAAGGGAAAAACUUGCAAGGUUGUCUGCAAGCUUAAACCAAACUAAGAAGACUUCUCUAGAGAAGAAGAAGGAGAGGCUCGCCGGAGCCGUAAUCGAAAU